rnacentral:rRNA from 1 species
UUUUUGGAGAGUUUGAUCCUGGCUCAGAGUUAACGCUGGCGGCGUGCCUAACACAUGCAAGUCGAGCGAAGAGUGGCGGAAUAUUGCGCUCUUAGCGGCAGACGGGUGAGUAACACGUAAACUAUUUGCCCUCGAAUGGGAGACAACCUGACGAAAGUUUGGCUAAUACCCCAUACAAUCC